UACGGAGGGUGCAAGCGUUAUCCGGAUUCACUGGGUUAAAGGGUGCGUAGGCGGAAUAGUAAGUCAGUGGUGAAAGCCUGUUGCUUAACAACAGAACUGCCAUUGAUACUGCUAAUCUUGAGUACAUUUGAUGUGGGCGGAAUGUGUCGUGUAGCGGUGAAAUGCUUAGAUAUGACACAGAACACCGAUUGCGAAGGCAGCUCACAAAACUGUUACUGACGCUGAGGCACGAAAGCGUGGGGAUCGAACAGG
rnacentral:rRNA from 1 species